AGAGUUUGAUCCUGGCUCAGGACGAACGCUGGCGGCGUGCCUAACACAUGCAAGUCGAACGGUAACAUGGGUGCUUGCACCUGAUGACGAGUGGCGGACGGGUGAGUAAUGUAUGGGGAUCUGCCGAAUGGAAUGGGACAACAGUUGGAAACGACUGCUAAUACCGUAUAAUGUCGCGAGACCAAAGAGGGGGACCUUCGGGCCUCUUGCCAUCGGAUGUGCCCAGAUGGGAUUAGCUAGUAGGUGGGGUAACGGCUCACCUAGGCGACGAUCCCUAGCUGGUCUGAGAGGAUGACCAGCCACACUGGAACUGAGACACGGUCCAGACUCCUACGGGAGGCAGCAGUGGGGAAUAUUGCACAAUGGGCGCAAGCCUGAUGCAGCCAUGCCGCGUGUAUGAAGAAGGCCUUCGGGUUGUAAAGUACUUUCAGCGGGGAGGAAGGCAAUACGGUUAAUAACCGUGUUGAUUGACGUUACCCGCAGAAGAAGCACCGGCUAACUCCGUGCCAGCAGCCGCGGUAAUUC
rnacentral:rRNA from 1 species